AGUGAACGCUGGCGGUAGGCCUAACACAUGCAAGUCGAACGGCGGCACAGUAAGAGCUUGCUCUUACGGGUGGCGAGUGGCGGACGGGUGAGGAAUACAUCGGAAUCUACUUUUUCGUGGGGGAUAACGUAGGGAAACUUACGCUAAUACCGCAUACGACCUACGGGUGAAAGCAGGGGAUCUUCGGACCUUGCGCGAUUGAAUGAGCCGAUGUCGGAUUAGCUAGUUGGCGGGGUAAAGGCCCACCAAGGCGACGAUCCGUAGCUGGUCUGAGAGGAUGAUCAGCCACACUGGAACUGAGACACGGUCCAGACUCCUACGGGAGGCAGCAGUGGGGAAUGUUGGACAAUGGGCGCAAACCUGAUCCAGCCAUACCGCGUGGGUGAAGAAGGCCUUCGGGUUGUAAAGCCCUUUUGUUGGGAAAGAAAAGCAGCAGGUUAAUACCCCGCUGUUCUGACGGUACCCAAAGAAUAAGCACCGGCUAACUUCGUG
rnacentral:rRNA from 1 species